CAGAAAUUCAAGCCACCAGAUGCUUUCCAACUAACAGGGAGCAAAUGGUACGGUUCUGCGGGGCCCUGGAAGAUCUGGGGGUGAGGGGAAGCAAGCUGCGAGAAUUGUAUUACAAAGGGAGCGAGACCAGACGGCGACAACUGACUUGGACCUCGGCCUUCCGUACAAGGUGCUGGGCCCGAGAACUCGGGAUGGGGGAGGGGGGCACACUGCGCGGUGGCCCCGAGGUGACGGGGAGACGCAGGGCGACCGCUUCCCCCAGCCUAAGGGGUAAACACGCGCACCCAAACGGGUCACCCGAGCAGCAAAGCCGUCCCUGUGGACCGUGGGGCAGGCUCUUGGGGGCAACCCCAGGGCUGACCUGAGGCAAGGGCAGCCAGUCCUCCCGGCGGAGACUCGGGUCAGGGCCAGGAGAAGACCUGAGCCCCGGGAGCUUGGGAAAGGAAUCCAAUCUAUCCUGAAGGGGAGCGGGCCAGGGGCGAGGGGGUCAGGCCAAGCCGGAACGAGACACGGACCGGGUAGGUCAAGGGGGGGGUGUCCGGCUGGGGCAGUUACAAGCACGGGAGCCGGCGAGGCUCAGCAGCCCGCUUCCCGUCUUGGGUCAUCCUUCUGCCAGCGGCUGCUCCGACUGUUCCAGGCCCAGCCGCCCCGUCCACUGCCGCCACCAACGCCGCCGCCAUCUUACACUGGCCAGCGGCCGCCACCACCACCGCCUCCGCUCUCGGCGCUUGCGCCUGCGCCGCCACGCUUUCCGGCCCCGUUUGCGACGAGGUGCUGGAGAAGACUGAAGGAAGAGUGGUCGCGCGAGCUCUCGGCUCCCAGCCCUCCGCGGAGGACGCAGAAGGGGCGGGGCUUAGGGCCAACGGCAAACAGAGCAAGGGGCGCGUGCGCGCUCCCGUGAGGCGAAGCUGUUUUCGCGGCGUGCUUGGAGGGGCUCGCACCUCUCGCACGGCUGCGGGCAGACGCGCGGGUAGGGGGCCUCCCGGACUUGUGGCUGCGGUGGAACCGAAUUUCCCUUCCAGCGGA
rnacentral:lncRNA from 1 species